ACUAGUCCUUCCAUUGCCUUUUUCUAUCUUUUUAUCUUGAUUUCCUUUCAAAUCAUACUUCAUUUCAAUUCAAUUCUAGAAUCAUUCAACAAUAUCAAUAAUCUUUCAUCAUUCUUCUAAAUUCAAAGAUUGAAAUUGAAAGUCUGUGGUGGUGGUGUGUGGAUCAAAUUCAAGAAGGAAAAAGGGAGGAGAACAGAAGUAUGAUUUUAAUUCUCUUUAAAUGUGUUUAUCGUAAUUAAUCAAAUCCUUCCAUAGUAAUAAUAAUAAUUACUACAAUUAGUUAACUAGUUAAUUGGAGAUUUGAGUGUGGGUAUGUGUGGGUGUCGAAUCACACGAAGAAAGAAAAGAGAAAGGAGCUUGAUUCUAGUUGUUUAAUUUCAUUAUAGUAGAUUUCUUUUUUAAGGUGGUUCUGGAAGAAGGAACUAGCUUAGUCGAUUGAAGUGUUAAUAUUGAAGUUGCUAGGCUUUUGAAGGUAUUUUGACCAUUCUUGAAAGAAUGGUGUUUGUUAGAAACCUAGUUCAUCCCACCUCAUUUGGCUCUUGGUACACUUUGUGUCCUUUUUGUAUGAAUGUAUUGUAAGGCCAUUAUUUUGGGUUUUGGAACUCCUGAAUUUGUAAGUUGUAGUUGGUGUUGUGUCAAAUGGGUGUUUUGACAACUUGGGUAAUUUGUACAUUUGACCCAUUUGGUGGGCAAUGUAAUUGUGAUUGAAGUAUUGAUGUUAAAUCAUGAUGUAAAGAUGUAUUAUACAAUUUGAAGUCUUAGUUAUGGUUUGAAAA